CUUUUAAGUGAUCUUUUUUAUAACUCUGGUUCUCUUUAUGGCAUUUAAUGUUCUGUAACUGAAUAAAGGUAACCUGUAAUCAAUAAGCGAUUUAAAAAUUUUAUGUCACUCUUCACAGUGGGAUGGAAAUUUAAGUUUAAAUGUAUUUUUUAAAGUAGUAAAAAGAGAGUCUGAUUUGCUUAAAAGUUUUGACAAUGUGGAACAUAAAAAUACUUUAUCACUUUUUCAAAAAAAAAAAGGGAUGUUUAGAGCCCUCAAUUCUGUUUGCUUCCUGCUUCAGAUAUAAUGUCAUGUUAUGUUAAAUGAUAUUCAGAUAGGCUCAGGAAACAAUAUAUGAUAACUUUGUAGAGAAAAACAUUUAAAAAGAGGCAAGGAUCAGCUUCAAAAAUAAAAAAAAAAACUUUAGAAUUCCUUGAGAGCCUUGUCUCACCUGAGAUAAGUCUCUGCCUCUCACCCUAACAAGAUGAGACAAGUUGAGAUGGCUCCAAAGUAGACUAGAAUUAAACUCAUUUGAAGUUAUGUUCAUCCUCAGAAAACUUGGAAUGGGACCACCAUUUGACCCAGUUAUCCUACUCAGCAUAUACUCAAAGGACUUAAAAUCAGCAUUAUAGUGUUAUACCCACAUCAAUGUUUAUAGCAGCUCAAUUCAUAAUAGCUAAGCUAUGGAGCCAACCUAGGUGCCCUUCAAUAGAUGAAUGGAUAAAGAAAACGUGGUAUAUAUACACAGUGGAAUAUUACUCAGCCAUAAAGAAAAAUGAAAUUAUGGCAUUCACCAGUAAAAUGGAUUGAACUGGAGACACUCAUGCCAAGUAAAAUAAGCCAACCAGUAAAAUGGAUUGAACUGGAGACACUCAUGCCAAGUAAAAAUAAGCCAAACCAAACACUGAAUGUUCUCUCUGAUAUAUGAUGCUAACACACAUGGGGUGGGGGAAGAACAGAAGUUUAUUG
rnacentral:lncRNA from 1 species